AUAUUAUUAAGCGGAGGAAAAGAAACUAACAAGGAUUCCCCUAGUAACGGCGAGUGAAGCGGGAAGAGCUCAACUUGAAAAUCGGUGUGCCUAGCGGUACAUCGAAUUGUAGUCUCGAGACAUUUCGGCAGUAGUGACCUGGGUAUAAAUCUUUUGAAACAAGGUAUCAUAGAGGGUGAGAAUCCCGUCUUUGACCCGGAGUUCGCUGCGUACGCUGGGUGUUCACAGAGUCGCUUAGCUUGGGAAUGCUGUCCUAAAUGGGUGGUAAAUUUCAUCUAAAGCUAAAUAUAGAGGAGAGACCGAUAGCGCACAAGUA
rnacentral:rRNA from 1 species